rnacentral:rRNA from 1 species
CAGCCGCCGCGGUAAUACGUAGGUGGCAAGCGUUGUCCGGAAUUAUUGGGCGUAAAGGGCUCGCAGGCGGUUUCUUAAGUCUGAUGUGAAAGCCCCCGGCUCAACCGGGGAGAGUCAUUGGAAACUGGGAAACUUGAGUGCAGAAGAGGAGAGUGGAAUUCCACGUGUAGCGGUGAAAUGCGUAGAGAUGUGGAGGAACACCAGUGGCGAAGGCGACUCUCUGGUCUGUAAUUGACGCUGAGGAGCGAAAGCGUGGGGAGCGAACAGGAUUAGAUACCCGCGUAGUCCCUGUCUCUUAUAC